GUGAAUCAUCAAAUUUUUGAACGCAAAUUGCACUCUCUUCGGAGAGUAUGCCUGUUUGAGGGUCAGUCUUAAUAAAAAUCGGUGUGUUGUUUCUUUGUGACGCUCCGGUGUUUGGGUCAUCUUACUAUCAUUUAGGUUUUUAGAGGCUUAUAGUUGACUUUUUUUGCGCAUUUUAGAGGUACAUAGAUUCUUUUUUUUAUUCGUCUGUCUUACUACUCAUACUCCUAUUAGCUGCGAUAAUA
rnacentral:misc_RNA from 1 species